AUUGAACGCUGGCGGCAUGCUUUACACAUGCAAGUCGAACGGUAACAGGGAGCUUGCUCCGCUGACGAGUGGCGAACGGGUGAGUAAUGCGUCGGAACGUGCCGUGUAGUGGGGGAUAACGCAGCGAAAGUUGUGCUAAUACCGCAUACGUACUGAGGUAGAAAGUGGGGGACCUUCGGGCCUCACGCUAUUCGAGCGGCCGACGUCUGAUUAGCCAGUAGGUGAGGUAAAGGCUCACCUAGGCGACGAUCAGUAGCGGGUCUGAGAGGAUGAUCCGCCACACUGGGACUGAGACACGGCCCAGACUCCUACGGGAGGCAGCAGUGGGGAAUUUUGGACAAUGGGCGAAAGCCUGAUCCAGCCAUGCCGCGUGUCUGAAGAAGGCCUUCGGGUUGUAAAGGACUUUUGUCGGGGAGGAAAUCCCCAGCGCUAAUACCGCUGGGGGAUGACAGUACCUGAAGAAUAAGCACCGGCUAACUACGUGCCAGCAGCCGCCGUAAGAC
rnacentral:rRNA from 1 species